rnacentral:rRNA from 1 species
GUCUACAGCCAUGCCACCCUGACCAUGCCCGAUCUUGUCUGAUCUCAGAAACUAAACAGGGUUAGGCCCAGUUAGUACUUGGAUGGGAGGCCACCUAGGAAGACUGGGUGCUGUAGGCA